GACGAACGCUGGCGGCGUGCCUAAUACAUGCAGGUUGAGCGCUGACGGUUGGUACUUGUACCAACUGGAUGAGCAGCGAACGGGUGAGUAACGCGUGGGGAAUCUGCCUUUGAGCGGGGGACAACAUUUGGAAACGAAUGCUAAUACCGCAUAAAAACUUUAAACACAAGUUUUAAGUUUGAAAGAUGCAAUUGCCUCACUCAAAGAUGAUCCCGCGUUGUAUUAGCUAGUUGGUGAGGUAAAGGCUCACCAAGGCGAUGAUACAUAGCCGACCUGAGAGGGUGAUCGGCCACAUUGAGACUGAGACACGGCACAAACUCCUACGGGAGGCAGCAGUAGGGAAUCGUCGGCAAUGGACGAAAGUCUGACCGAGCAACGCCGCGUGAGUGAAGAAGGUUUUCGGAUCGUAAAACUCUGUUGGUAGAGAAGAACGUUUGUGAGAGUGGAAAGCUCAUCAAGUGACGGUAACUACCCAGAAAGGGACGGCUAACUACGUG
rnacentral:rRNA from 1 species